GGGUACCUUGUGCGUUUC
rnacentral:misc_RNA from 1 species